CCAUUUGAUUUUUUCAUCUGAAUUUCACAUUUUCUCGCUGGUUUAUAUAUAUAUCAGCCAUAUAUAUCAUUCUGGAGCUUCAUCAAUAUAAUCUGUAAAGUUUAGAUUUCCACAAAGUCCUCUCUUUUUAAGCGUGCUUAGUGUCACAGGAUGCUUCAAAUGACCCUCCCCAUGGGCUUAUAUAGGAGGGAUUAAGUCCGUGACAUUAAGCUGUUCUGGAGCUUGAGUGCAACACUUCAGGUGCCUUUUUAGUUGAUCAUAACACUUGAGUG
rnacentral:lncRNA from 1 species